rnacentral:lncRNA from 1 species
UUAAAUUCAAAUUUUAUAUAACAACUAAACUUUUUGCCAAUAUAAAUGUUGUAUAACUUUUCAAACCCAACAUCUUUUGUUAUUUGAGCUUUCACUGAUUUAGAGUGGAAGGUGUCCAAAAUUUGAGUCAAAUAUCAGUGAAAUUCAAACUUAGUUCAAUUUUCAAACUCUUCCUAAGUCCGGCGUUCCUCCAAAAGUUUACACUCUUUUAUCUCCCAAUCUAGCAAAGGUGUGAACCUAAGGCCUUUGUAGAAGUUGUAGUUUUAAGUUUGGAAAAGAACUUUCAUAUUUGAAAAAUUUCAAGUUUGAUUUCAAAAUUAUGCACAAACUCGGUUCAAAACCCCCUACUCUCCAC